CAUAAAUUCAAAGAUCACGAAAAAAUACCGAUCGAAAUUUAAAGAAGAAUCGAAUAUAAUCCCUUUAAAGGAAGAAAAAAUCAUCGAAAGAUUAAACUGAAUUUAGGGUAAAAGCAUCAGAUUGCGGAAACUGUUUUGUUCUUCGUUCGAUUUCAUCAAGUUCUAGAAAAAUCUGGUUUUUGGUUUUUGGAGUAAUGAAUGAGCAAGGAAAAAUGAUGAAUCAACAGCAGAGGAUGAGUAUGGGUCAAAACCAAAUGAUAAGUAUGAGUCAACCUCAGAUCUUGAAUCCACAGCUUCAACAACAGCCACAGCAGCAGCCUCAGAUGAUGAAUAGGAGCUAUAGGAUGUGGCCGCAGCCGCCUAUGCCACCGCCGUCUAUGGUGGAUCAGCUCAAAUUUCAAAACCCUAAUAAUCAUAAUUUGAAGCAAUUUGUUCCUGGAAAGCAUCCCAAACCCUUGGGUCCUAGAAACAAUUGGAAGGGUAAAAAGGUAAAUAAGAAGGAUAAGAGAAUGGAUGGAGUUAGGAGGAACGAGAUUGGAACUAGCGGUAGUGGUAGUACUGCCGGAGGAAUUGUUGGAAAUCAAGGCGGGUAUAAGCCGCCUACCUUAAAUGAUUUGCAACAACAAAAUCGAUUAAAGGCUAGGAGGUUUUUCCCUAAGAAGAAAUUUUAUCAUAAUAAUAAUAAUAAUAAUAGUAACAACAAUAACAGGACUGCACCGUAUGCACCUCGGAACACGUCUUCGUACAUUAUUAGGGCUAAAAAGAGUGGUGGUAUUGCUUCUUUGGUGUCGCCUUGUCCUGUGACUCCUGCUGUGUUACCGACGCCAAUGUUUUCUCCAUCUAGGGAAGUGUUAGUAGAUAUGGCAAAAGAGGAGUGGGGAGUGGAUGGGUAUGGAUCGAUGAAUGGGUUGAUUAGACUGAGGUCACCAGGUCAUGAGGCAGAAGGACAUGAGGAUGAGGAAGAAGAGGAGGGAGGAUCAAGUGAGAGUGAUGUGGAAGAACAUGUGGAGGUUGAAAGGAGGUUGGAUCAUGAUUUGAGCAGGUUUGAGAUGAUUUACCCGAAUUAUAGCGGGAUGGAGUAUAACAAUGUGUUGGGAAACCGUGUGGAUGAUCAGGAUACCCAUAUUGCUCAAUUGGAGGAAGAGAACUUGAUUUUGAAGGAUAGAUUGUUCUUGAUGGAGAGGGAGUUGGGUGAUUUGAGGAGGAGGUUGCAAAGUCUUGAGAGGCAAGGCCAUAGCUAUGAUGAGAUGAAUGAGGAGGUUGUGGAGAAUGAGACUGAGAGUGAGACUGAUAGUCAUGGCGAUGGCCAUUCUUUGGAGGAUAACAAUGCUGAACUGAUUGAACGGGCCAUGGAAGGAGUUGGGACUGUGAAAGGGAAGGAAGAGAUUAGGAUUGAGGAUGACACAGAGUUUGCAGAAAAUGAAGAGAGAGUUGGAAAAGAAAGUGAACAGGUUAAUGGUGAUGGUGAUGGUGAAACUAUUGAAAAGGAAUCCGAUGAAGUAGGAAAAGAAGAUGAAGUUGAUGGAGGAGAUGGUAUGGUUGAAGUCCUUAAGAAGGAAAUCAUUGCUGAUCUUGAAAGCAAGAGUGAGCUGAAAGACGAAGCAGCCGUGAAAACUGGGGAUGAGGUUCAGUUUAGUCAAUUGAAUAAGAACAAUGAAAACGAGGUUCAGGCAUCAGAUAAUGCAAUUGUUAAAGAUGUUACCAUGGAGGAGGCUUCUAGAGUGGAUGCUGAUGCGAAUUUUCAAACAAAGAAUGAGGAUGAUUUGACAGGAGAUAAAUGAUCAGGGAAGAGCAUUUUCGAAGGUGACUUGUCUAAGUUUCCCUCGUCAAUCAGAGGGGAUGUCCUAUUGUUGGUGGCAGAAAAACAGAUGUGAUGGUGACGUUACUUGUCCCUCUGCUGCAUUUAUUGAGUUUACUACAGAACAUGCAUGUUUAUAUAAGGGCUUGUUUGGUUGGGGAACAAGUUAUGUCGGGAUUAGUUAUCCUGCGAUUGUUUACCCACCCUUAGUGUGGGAUAAAACUAACGCUACAAUCUCAGGGUAAACUAAUUUCUUUACCCUAAUUUCGGGAUAAGUUAUCUGUUGAGUUUAUCCCAACCAGCCAUGGAAUAAACUCAUCCUAAAAUUACUCCCGGAAUUAGUCAUCCCUUAUCCGUCCCCCCGGAGUCAUGUUUUAGGGUUUGUGUUUGUUGCAGUAGGAUAUUAUAUGGUUCAUCUCAUGAUUCAUUUCUUUUCAGGUGCUUCACCUACUUUAAUCCUUGUUAUAUUGAA